rnacentral:rRNA from 1 species
GAUGAACGCUGGCGGCGUGCCUAAUACAUGCAAGUCGAGCGAACGGACGAGAAGCUUGCUUCUCUGAUGUUAGCGGCGGACGGGUGAGUAACACGUGGAUAACCUACCUAUAAGACUGGGAUAACUUCGGGAAACCGGAGCUAAUACCGGAUAAUAUUUUGAACCGCAUGGUUCAAAAGUGAAAGACGGUCUUGCUGUCACUUAUAGAUGGAUCCGCGCUGCAUUAGCUAGUUGGUAAGGUAACGGCUUACCAAGGCAACGAUGCAUAGCCGACCUGAGAGGGUGAUCGGCCACACUGGAACUGAGACACGGUCCAGACUCCUACGGGAGGCAGCAGUAGGGAAUCUUCCGCAAUGGGCGAAAGCCUGACGGAGCAACGCCGCGUGAGUGAUGAAGGUCUUCGGAUCGUAAAACUCUGUUAUUAGGGAAGAACAUAUGUGUAAGUAACUGUGCACAUCUUGACGGUACCUAAUCAGAAAGCCACGGCUAACUACGUGCCAGCAGCCGCGGUAAUACGUAGGUGGCAAGCGUUAUCCGGAAUUAUUGGGCGUAAAGCGCGCGUAGGCGGUUUUUUAAGUCUGAUGUGAAAGCCCACGGCUCAACCGUGGAGGGUCAUUGGAAACUGGAAAACUUGAGUGCAGAAGAGAAAAGUGGAAUUCCAUGUGUAGCGGUGAAAUGCGCAGAGAUAUGGAGGAACACCAGUGGCGAAGGCGACUUUCUGGUCUGUAACUGACGCUGAUGUGCGAAAGCGUGGGGAUCAAACAGGAUUAGAUACCCUGGUAGUCCACGCCGUAAACGAUGAGUGCUAAGUGUUAGGGGGUUUCCGCCCCUUAGUGCUGCAGCUAACGCAUUAAGCACUCCGCCUGGGGAGUACGACCGCAAGGUUGAAACUCAAAGGAAUUGACGGGGACCCGCACAAGCGGUGGAGCAUGUGGUUUAAUUCGAAGCAACGCGAAGAACCUUACCAAAUCUUGACAUCCUUUGACAACUCUAGAGAUAGAGCCUUCCCCUUCGGGGGACAAAGUGACAGGUGGUGCAUGGUUGUCGUCAGCUCGUGUCGUGAGAUGUUGGGUUAAGUCCCGCAACGAGCGCAACCCUUAAGCUUAGUUGCCAUCAUUAAGUUGGGCACUCUAAGUUGACUGCCGGUGACAAACCGGAGGAAGGUGGGGAUGACGUCAAAUCAUCAUGCCCCUUAUGAUUUGGGCUACACACGUGCUACAAUGGACAAUACAAAGGGCAGCGAAACCGCGAGGUCAAGCAAAUCCCAUAAAGUUGUUCUCAGUUCGGAUUGUAGUCUGCAACUCGACUACAUGAAGCUGGAAUCGCUAGUAAUCGUAGAUCAGCAUGCUACGGUGAAUACGUUCCCGGGUCU